GUCUGGAUGGCUCAGUGAGUUGAGUGCCUGACUUUGGCUCAGGUCAUGAUCUCACAGUUCGUGGGUUCAAGCCCCGCAUCAGGCU
rnacentral:tRNA from 1 species